UGAAUUUCGCUCAAGACAAUUAGUCCUAGAAGACAGGGAGAAGGAUUUCAACUAUGUUUAAUAGCAGAGGUUUUUUAUUUCCCUAAGGAAAUAUGAUACUCAAAACACACACACAAACUAUAAAAAGAAAAGUGUUCUGGUUGAAGCCUGAGUUGGAAGUCCAGAUGCUCACCCAUCUUGCCUCCUCUUUGCCCCUCAGAUCUGCUCCUGAGCCUCCUUCACGGACUUUACUUUCCACGAGACACAUUUGUAAAACGUUGGGCUAUACUGACCUCUUUAUGGACCUUGAGAUCAACUUUGCAGCAAAGUCAACGUUUAGAACAAAGCUGAGAACCUCAAAGAUGUAAAAGCAGAUUUUCUGAAGGAACGGAUUCAGUACUAAAAGAGGACAUCAGGCAGCCUGGGUUUGAAUCCCAGCUCAGAUUCUUCAUUUGAUUCAUCUCUUGGCUGAAAGAUUUUGUUGUCAAGUUGUUCUUUUCAAGAAAGAUACGUGGAUGCUUUCUAAUCCUUUCACACUUGAAACGGUUUGAUUCUUAUCCUUUAUGCCUGAGGUGCAACAAAGAAAAUUUCUCAAUGUAAUUUUUUUCUCCCCUGAAAAGUGUAUAUAUUGUUACUCUGCUAUCUUCUGGUAUUGAGUCCUUCUGUGAAUUUUUGGUAAGCCUAACUUUUUCCUAUUGACCUGCUUUGUUUUGUUUUUCCCUAUUGACUGCCAUAUAAUUCUUUCUUCAUUAUUAAUAGUGAAUAACUUUACCACAAUAUUUCUUGGCUUCCUUUUGAUCUUCACAUUCAAGUAUUCCUUCAUUUCAGGCAUAUUUCCUUACGGAAAAUUUUCAUUAUCUGCUCCAUUUGUUCUGCUAUCCUUUUUACCAAUUAUAGUUUCCAAGUUAUCUAUCAUUUCUAUAGCUUCUCUAGUAUAAUUUCUAAAUUUUUCCCCUUUUGAAUUUUGUUUUGUGUGAUUUCUCUCACUGAGCUUCAGUUGUAUUUAUUUGACUGUAUCAAAUACGACUUCCUUCCUGCAUUGUUUUGUUUCACCUCCACUUCUUUCAUGAAUUUUGCCAUCUUUUUUCUUUUUCUUUCUUUUUCCUUUGUUUGCAUUCUUCCAUUGUGUUGCUUUCGUCUUUAAACCCUUGUAUCUCUUCUCUGAGCUGUUAAUUUAAGGCAAAUCACAUCACCUCCAAUUUCAUUAAGAACUGAGAAGAAUUUUGUCAGAAUGUCUCUUCUGUUUCCCUGGGAAAUACUUUUAUAAUGUAUGUUUAUUUUUUAUGUGACUGUUCUGCCUUUUUCUUGUCAAAAUUGACACUAGUAGAGCCAUUUUAAAAUGGAGUCAGAGUCGCCCUUCCAGAGAAACUGCCAUUCUGUCUCAAACCUUAGACUGGGCCAAAACGGCAAUUGUUUUCGCAAGCAAUUGUUUGAGAAGUCAGCAGGAGAACGGACAUCCUGAUCACAAAGACUGAGGAUUGUGGACUUUCUGAAGAUAGAGUCAACAGUCAAUGUUUAGCCAAGACUAGCUCUCUGCCUCCAACUCCAGCUAAAAGUCUUUGUAAUACAACCUCCCUUCUUUCUCUUUAAAAGCCCCUCACUUUUACUCCCUAGCAGGACAGUAUUUGGGUUUCUAUCUGAAUCUGUGCUCCCUGAACUGCAAUUCUUGAGACCCCAAAUAAACUUUUUGCUUCUCU
rnacentral:lncRNA from 1 species